AAAUCCUUGGUCUGAAAGGGUAGAAAGCUGCUGUUGAUCUCAGUCUGUCUUCUCUACUCAUAAUUCAUUGUUUACUAGUUAAUCAGUGUGAUGUCUUAAAAGUUCAUGCUGAAGCCUUAGUUUUCCCAGGUGUAUGCAGAAACCCAAAACAUGCUUAUUGCUGUAAUGCCUAUUUAGUAACUUGGAAACUCUACAUGAGUUUUAC